rnacentral:rRNA from 1 species
CACAUGCAAGUCGAACGGAAACGAAACUAGCUUGCUAGUAGGCGUCGAGUGGCGGACGGGUGAGUAACGCGUAGGAAUCUGCCUGAUAGUGGGGGAUAGCCCGAAGAAAUUCGGAUUAAUACCGCAUAAUCUAUUCGUAGUAAAGUGGGGGACUUUCGAGCCUCACGCUAUCAGAUGAGCCUGCGUAAGAUUAGCUUGUUGGUAGGGUAAAAGCCUACCAAGGCAACGAUCUUUAGCUGGUCUGAGAGGAUGAUCAGCCACAUCGGGACCGAGACACGGCCCGAACUCCUACGGGAGGCAGCAGUGGGGAAUAUUGGACAAUGGGGGCAACCCUGAUCCAGCAAUACCGCGUGUGUGAAGAAGGCCUGAGGGUUGUAAAGCACUUUCAAUUGUGAAGAAAAGUUAACGGUUAAUAACCGUUGACCUUGACGUUAACUUUAGAAGAAGCACCGGCUAACUCCGUGCCAGCAGCCGCGGUAAUACGGAGGGUGCAAGCGUUAAUCGGAAUUACUGGGCGUAAAGCGUGCGUAGGUGGUUUAUUAAGUCAGAUGUGAAAGCCCCGGGCUUAACCUGGGAACUGCAUUUGAAACUGGUCAACUAGAGUAUGGUAGAGGAAAGUGGAAUUUCUGGUGUAGCGGUGAAAUGCGUAGAUAUCAGAAGGAACAUCAAUGGCGAAGGCAGCUUUCUGGACCAAUACUGACACUGAGGUACGAAAGCGUGGGUAGCAAACAGGAUUAGAUACCCUGGUAGUCCACGCCGUAAACGAUGAUAACUAGCCGUUGGGGGGANUUACCCCUUAGUGGCGAAGCUAACGCGUUAAGUUAUCCGCCUGGGG